rnacentral:rRNA from 1 species
UACGGAGGACGCAAGAGUUGUUCGGAAUCACUGGGCGUAAAGCGCGUGUAGGCGGCCGGGCAAGUCGGAUGUGAAAUCCCGAGGCUCAACCUCGGAACUGCAUUCGAAACUGCUCGGCUCGAGUCCCGGAGAGGAUGGCGGAAUUCCCGGUGUAGGGGUGAAAUCCGUAGAUAUCGGGAGGAACACCAGUGGCGAAGGCGGCCAUCUGGACGGUGACUGACGCUGCGAAGCGAAAGCUUGGGGAGCAAACAGG